GAUCCUGGCUCAGAUUGAACGCUGGCGGCAGGCCUAACACAUGCAAGUCGAACGGUAACAGGAAGCAGCUUGCUGCUUUGCUGGCGAGUGGCGGACGGGUGAGUAAUGUCUGGGAAACUGCCUGAUGGGAGGGGGAUAACUACUGGAAACGGUAGCUAAUACCGCAUAACGUCGCAAGACCAAAGAGGGGGACCUUAGGGCCUCUUGCCAUCGGAUGUGCCCAGAUGGGAUUAGCUAGUAGGG
rnacentral:rRNA from 1 species